AUUGAACGCUGGCGGCAUGCUUUACACAUGCAAGUCGAACGGUAACAGGUUAAGCUGACGAGUGGCGAACGGGUGAGUAAUGCAUCGGAACGUGCCCGAUCGUGGGGGAUAACGCAGCGAAAGCUGCGCUAAUACCGCAUACGAUCUGAGGAUGAAAGCGGGGGACCGUAAGGCCUCGCGCGAUCGGAGCGGCCGAUGUCAGAUUAGGUAGUUGGUGGGGUAAAGGCCCACCAAGCCGACGAUCUGUAGCUGGUCUGAGAGGACGACCAGCCACACUGGGACUGAGACACGGCACAGACUCCUACGGGAGGCAGCAGUGGGGAAUUGUGGACAAUGGGCGAAAGCCUGAUCCAGCAAUGCCGCGUGCAGGAAGAAGGCCUUCGGGUUGUAAACUGCUUUUGUACGGAGCGAAAAGGUCCUUUCUAAUACAGGGGGCUCAUGACGGUACCGUAAGAAUAAGCACCGGCUAACUACGUGCCAGCCGCCGCGGUAA
rnacentral:rRNA from 1 species